rnacentral:rRNA from 1 species
UACGUAGGCAGCAAGCGUUGUUCGGAGUUACUGGGCGUAAAGGGUGCGUAGGCGGCUUUUUAAGUUUGGUGUGAAAUCUCCCGGCUCAACUGGGAGGGUGCGCCGAAUACUGAGAGGCUAGAGUGCGGGAGGAGGAAAGUGGAAUUCCUGGUGUAGCGGUGAAAUGCGUAGAUAUCAGGAGGAACACCGGUGGUGUAAACGGCUUCUGGACCGUAACUGACGCUGAGGCACGAAAGCGUGGGUAGCAAACAGG